UCACCUGACAUCACCAAAUUAGAGGAUAUAUUUUAGAACUAUUAACAUGGAUAGCUCCCCUUAAGAGCAUCUUAAGAGCACUGCAAACACGUUCGCGCCACGGACAUGUUCGGGAAACCGUCGGAAAAAACAAACGAACGAUCUUAAGAUGAAUCAUACAAAACCAUCUUAAGAGC